GAGGUUAAGCGACUAAGCGUACACGGUGGAUGCCCUGGCAGUCAGAGGCGAUGAAGGACGUGCUAAUCUGCGAUAAGCGCCGGUAAGGUGAUAUGAACCGUUAUAACCGGCGAUUUCCGAAUGGGGAAACCCAGUGUGACUCGUCACACUAUCAUUAACUGAAUCCAUAGGUUAAUGAGGCGAACCGGGGGAACUGAAACAUCUAAGUACCCCGAGGAAAAGAAAUCAACCGAGAUUCCCCCAGUAGCGGCGAGCGAACGGGGAGGAGCCCAGAGCCUGAAUCAGCAUGUGUGUUAGUGGAAGCGUCUGGAAAGGCGCGCGAUACAGGGUGACAGCCCCGUACACAAAAGCGCAUAUGCUGUGAGCUCGAUGAGUAGGGCGGGACACGUGGUAUCCUGUCUGAAUAUGGGGGGACCAUCCUCCAAGGCUAAAUACUCCUGACUGACCGAUAGUGAACCAGUACCGUGAGGGAAAGGCGAAAAGAACCCCGGCGAGGGGAGUGAAAAAGAACCUGAAACCGUGUACGUACAAGCAGUGGGAGCAC
rnacentral:rRNA from 1 species